AAACAGGUCAUACUCUCUCCACAAUCUGCCUCCAUGGCUUCUACUUGCCACUUCCUCCUCUCAUUUCCUCCGCUUUCCAAGCCACCGUCUCUUCUCACUCCCAAAUUCUUCACGCGACACUCCUUUCCUCGCUCCAUUUCCACCGAUCGGCCCUCCAAAACCCGAUCCAACAGCUCACCGUCCUCCUCCACCGCAGCAGGUGUCGAAGAUGACCCGAAAAAAAACUCUCUGCCCAUGUCCAUCGAUAAUCUUCGCCGCUUCUUUGACCUCAAUGUAGGCAAAUGGCACGGCUCUUUCCACCAAUUUGAUGCCAAUGGUAAAUUGAUGCAAAAAGUGAGCACAAGGCUUUCUGCGAGCUCUUAUGGAGAAGAUGAACUCAUUAGUCUCAUUCAAACGUAAGUGUAGAUUAUUUGACUACUCUUAUUGUGUUUCAUGUUGACAUUGAAUGUUUUAUUUGUGUAUGGUGCAUAAUCUGAAAGCAAAAUUAGGGAAACUAAUGGGAGGGCCUUUUGAAGGAAGCAAAAGGGUAUGAUGAAUCAAGCAUCACGGCCUUCUAUGAUUGGCUUGUUGCACCAAAUCAGCAUACUGACUUGGUACAACGUAUUGUUUGAAUAAGUUUUUUCUGGUUUUCCAUGGAAAGUUUAUUAGUUUAACCAUGAUGAGAAACAUGUUAACUUGUUGAGCUUUUUACCAUUGCACUGCAGUUUAUAAUGUGAGCUUCAUAGUACACUAAUAAAAGUAUAAACUUGUUAUUAAGAAACCAUUUAUUGAGCUAAUGACGCAGUUGGUAUGCUCUUCCUGGAGUCAUUUCUAUCUUCUCAUCAAUUCCAGUGAAAUAACUAAGUGUUGUCUAGGUGUUUUUUACUGUAUGCAUCUCAUUGCUAUUGAACCCUUUGUGCUCCUAAUUUUAUUGUAUUUUGUAGGCUAUAUAUAAAACAACCACCAACAAGCAUUUCAAUCUCUGGAUAUGAUGAGGAGCCAGAAUGGGCAGAGUACAAGAUAAAGGAAACCAACAUGUUCACUGUGGAUAGGUAUCAACAGUUGGCAGAUUGGCUUUUUCCCCAAUGAGAGGGCUUUUGCCCUAAGAUACCAAACAGCUGGCAUGUUAGAAACUGUGUUAAGGCAAGGAGUACUGGGGGAAGAUGACACUGGAGAAGAAUCUCCUAGGUGAAUGCUUCUUUCCUCAACAGGCUCUCUAAUUGUGCAAAAGAUGGCACUUUAGUUUUUCCAGUCUUGAGCGGGGCUAAAUCUGCAUCUGUCAUACUAAGUGACUAAAAUUGAUGGGGAAUGUCAUAGAAAAUUUUGGUCUUGUGCUUGUUCUGUUAUUGCAAUUGAGGUGGGAUGAACCUUUAGAAAUGAACAACUAACCUCUAGAGCUGUUAUAAAGGCCAGGUGGCCUUGCAUGACUAGCUACAGUAGCUGGCUGUUGCUCACUAAGGGGAGGAUGAAUCGAAGAGCAUGCCAAUUUUCUAAAUGAUUUUUCCAAAUAAAUAUUCCCAUCUUCGUGCAAAAGUUAUUUUACUCAGCUUUGUCUGGACAAUCUUGUGUAACUAUUAUUUGUGAAAUCUGUAACUUUGUUCUUAUACAAAUAAUAAUCACUAUAUUUUGAGCUUUCUCUUAUUUUCUGAUGAAAUGUGGUUCACAAAUUAUAUUUCACAAGUUUUAAUUCCAUGUGAUUACUUGUUUAUUACAUUUUUUUACCAUGUAGAAAUCUUAAGCUUCCUUCUCGGCUGCCUUCUAUUGUAUGUGAGAACUGCCUAUAUUCACAAGAGAAAGAUAGACGAGCAAGAGCUUUUCAUAUCAUGGAUCCAAAAGGCGUUUUAGAAAUGCUUCUUAUCUUUCUUGAGGAUAGAGGAGACAGGGUCCUAUCUCAUCCUUCACUUGAAAAUAACAUUGAUAGCGUAAAUAGGAUCCUUCCAUUUCUUGGUCAGUGGAAAGGCCAUUCUAUAACCAAACGUAGCGGUGUUUAUGGAUCAACAAUUGCUGAAGCUGAUACGGUAGCUUUGCUUGAAAUGGAUGAUAAGGGUCAGCUGAUCCAGGUAUUGUUGCUCAAUUGCCUUAUUGAGAAAGGAAGUUGUGAACCAAAGGGAUUGGAACUGGAGAGUUUGAGAGGACAUGUGAAUGGUAAUGUGAUUGAUGCCAUUGAAACCUUAGCAAGAAUCUGGUGUACAUACAUAUUGAUACCAGCUAUGGGUGAUUAAACAUAUUCUUAUUAGCUAAGAAUUGUAUCCAUGAUGCAUGUACCAAGUGGAUUAUGAAAUACAAUUUAUGGAUUUACAUGCUUUUGAUAUUAAUUAUGGGCGGAAUCUAAAUCUCUUUCUCAUGAACAAAAAUUGUCAGGUUAUUACUUCAACAUCUGAUCAACAUGAUGUUAAAACUAAUAUGCACUGGACGGGUAACGCAGCAGACAACUUGGUUACAUUUGAUGGAGGAUAUCAGAUUACAUUAUUACCAGGAGGCAUGUACAUGGGAUGUCCUUCUGACAUUGCAAAAAGUGUUGCAGAAUCUAAGUCAUUUCAUCUGGAGUUUUGUUGGCUUGAGUCUCCUGGCAAGAGACAAAGACUGGUUAGAACUUACGAUGUAGAAGGCUUGGCUGUCUCAUCAACUUAUUUUUCUGAAACUAAGUUGUGAGUUUCCUGUUUCUGCUUAUCAUGAAAGUACUUUUUAGGUUUAAUAUGGAAGUUCAUUUCUGUGCCAAAUUGGUGUUUUAAAAUACUUGUAGCAGCGUAGCCGCAUGGUCAUUUUAUGGUUUUCUUUACAGAAUAGCGCAAAGAAAGACCAGUUGUGAUUUUCUCUGAGUACAGAAUAAAGCAAAGAAAAACCAGAGGUCUAUUGUUGUAGGGUGAACUGAGGCAUGUAUACUUUUAGUUGUAUUUUGGCAUAUUUCCUGGAAAGCCCAAGCAGGGUGUUGGGAUUUCCAUGGUUUUACAAAAGAGAAGCCUUGUUGAGCAAACCCUGGACAGUAAUCUGCUAUUUCUCCUAUUAAUGAUUCAGUGCGUGUUACUACAAGUAGUGAUUGGGACUAUACGAUUAAAUGUUUCCUUAUGUAAGAAUGAUUGCAUGUGUUGUUAAGGAGGGAUUAGAAAUGUACAACAGACAUGCUUAUUUCUUUUUAUUAAUAACGCUUUAUCAAUUUUAAUACUUUUAAUUAAUUUGAUAUGCAAAGGAAAUCUUCUCAAAUAUGUCAUUUUCAUGCUUAAAAUUGUAUUGCUCAAUUUUCAAAUUUGGUGGUGUAACUUUUGGCACCAUCCUUGUAUGUUCUUGUUCUUGACAUUGAAAAAUAGAAAAUUUGUAUUAGAGAUGGUAACUAUGUUAGUAAAAAAAGGAAAUUAAGGCUAUGUUUGUUUCGCAUAAAAU
rnacentral:misc_RNA from 1 species